rnacentral:rRNA from 1 species
UUUUAAUAGAACUAAUUAUUAAUAAAAUCUGCUCAAUGAAAUAUUAAAUAGCCGCAAAGUCAUACUUUGUGCUAAGGUAGCGAAAUCAUUUGUCUUUUAAAUAAAGACCAGAAUAAAAGAUAUUACAUUUCAAUUAUUUUAUUUAAAUUUAAAAUUCAAAAUUUUCUUAAAUGUAAAAAGACAUUAAUAUAUAAAAAAGACAAUAAGACCCUAUUGAAUUUAAUUUUAAUUUAACUGGGGCAGUUAAUUAAUUAUUAUUUUAAUAAAAUUAAUAAAAAUUUAAUCUAAUUAAAUUAAAAGAUCAAUAUUACCAUAGGGAUAACAGCAUAAUAAAAUUCUAAAGAUCUUAUAAAAAACUAAGAUUAUGACCUCGAUGUUGAAUAAUAACCUAAAUUAAGCAAAAGUAAUAAUAGGAAGUCUGUUCGACUUAUAAAUAAUUACA